AUGGCCCACUAAGAGGAGGUGAGUGUGUCCAGCUUCGGGUUCCACUGGGCGGUGGAGCAGCACAAUGGCAAGACCAUUUUCGCCUCCUUUUUGGGUUCUAAGGACACUAGAGGGGAAAGCUGGUGCCCCGACUGCGUGCAGGCUGAACCAGUCACACGAGAGGGGCUGAAGCACGUUCGUGAAGGAUGUGUGUUCAUCUACUGCCAAGUAGGAGACAAGCCUUAUUGGAAAGCUCCAAAUAAUGGCUUCAGAAAAAAACCUGAUAGUAACAGCAGUGCCUACACGACUUAAGUAUGGAACACGUCAAAAACUGGUAGAAUCUGAGUGUCUUCAGGCCAACCUUGUGGAAACGUUGUUCUCUGAAGAUUAAGAUUUUAUGAUGGCAAUCAUGUCUUGAUUUCCUG